rnacentral:rRNA from 1 species
UACGAAGGGGGCUAGCGUUGCUCGGAAUCACUGGGCGUAAAGGGUGCGUAGGCGGGUCUUUAAGUCAGGGGUGAAAUCCUGGAGCUCAACUCCAGAACUGCCUUUGAUACUGGAGAUCUUGAGUUCGGGAGAGGUGAGUGGAACUGCGAGUGUAGAGGUGAAAUUCGUAGAUAUUCGCAAGAACACCAGUGGCGAAGGCGGCUCACUGGCCCGUUACUGACGCUGAGGCACGAAAGCGUGGGGAGCAAACAGG